rnacentral:snRNA from 1 species
GUGUUCACUUCACCAGCACACACACUACAAUUGAAAUGAGACAGAUAUUAGCCCGGCCCCCGCACAAGAACAAUACACAAAUUCCUAAUCGUUCCCGAUUUUU